GCGCCAUCUCCAUUUCUAUUAGUCGUACUGUCAAACUUUGCCCGUUAAAUUUGGGAAGGUGGAAUUUGGGACUUUACUAUUAUCUGUUAGAAGGAAAGUAUUGGGCACAUUACAAUUCAAGCAAUAACACUGGCAAGUAUAUAUACGUGCAUAUGACUUUAAACCGAGUGCACCGUUUUCAAAUCUACUCCAUCCCGCGCUAGCAGCUUGAGCCUUUAAAUGAAGAUAUUUGCUUCGAUCAAAUCACUGCCAGCAGUUUUUAAAACAAUUAAUUCGGAACAUCAGCUCAGGAAAUUCGGUCAUGGGCAACUUUGACUAUUAAUUUAUGUGGAAAUAAGCAAAGGUCAAGAAGCAAAGCGAAGUUUAUAGAGCGAAAAGACCACAUCCCGCUGUCUAAAAACUGAUUGUUAACAAUUCGAGAAGCAACAUAGACCCCCAUGAUCAACCUAUUUCUGGCUGAGACCCCAAUACGAACGUUCAUAUUUAAAACAGAAAAAAAAACUAAAGAUUGUUAUAGGAUAGGAUAGGAGAAAGUGCGUAUAUACACAAAUAUGGAAGUUGGGCAAAUUACAAAUGGUUAAAUAAGAAACAAUAGCAGCUAGAGAAUACCUCAUAAAAAGUUUUUAAAAAAAUGCAUGGCUCCAGGAUCGAACCCAGAAAUAAUUUAGAGGAUUAUAUGAGUGGAUUGCAAGCGUGAGGAUGCCAGAGAGUAAAAUGCGAUCAAUCACAGUCAUUCCAUUCGUUUAAUAAAAGCUGUGAGCAGAAUGACGCACGGUAGUGCAUGUGAACCGACAUUUUGGGUCUCAAUAGAAGUUGCAAACAGAAACCAAAAAAUAAUACCAAGCAAAUUACACUUUUUAAUUUUAUGACAGAUUACUAAAAUUUAAUAUUGUAAGAUCCAUUCGUGAAUAAAAAUCAAUCUUAUUAGAUGUUUGUAACAGA